rnacentral:rRNA from 1 species
GACGAGCGCUGGCGGCGUGCUUAACACAUGCGAGUCGAACGAUGAAGCCUAGCUUGCUAGGUGGAUUAGUGGCGAACGGGUGAGUAAUACGUGAGUAACCUACCUUUAACUCUGGGAUAAGCCUGGGAAACUGGGUCUAAUACCGGAUACGACCAAUCUCCGCAUGGGGUGUUGGUGGAAAGCGUUAUGUAGUGGUUAUAGAUGGGCUCACGGCCUAUCAGCUUGUUGGUGAGGUAACGGCUCACCAAGGCGACGACGGGUAGCCGGCCUGAGAGGGUGACCGGCCACACUGGGACUGAGACACGGCCCAGACUCCUACGGGAGGCAGCAGUGGGGAAUAUUGCACAAUGGGCGCAAGCCUGAUGCAGCGACGCCGCGUGAGGGAUGACGGCCUUCGGGUUGUAAACCUCUGUUAGCAGGGAAGAAGAGAGAUUGACGGUACCUGCAGAGAAAGCGCCGGCUAACUACGUGCCAGCAGCCGCGGUAAUACGUAGGGCGCGAGCGUUGUCCGGAAUUAUUGGGCGUAAAGAGCUUGUAGGCGGUUUGUCGCGUCUGCUGUGAAGGCCGGAGCUUAACUCCGUGUAUUGCAGUGGGUACGGGCAGACUAGAGUGCAGUAGGGGAGGCUGGAAUUCCUGGUGUAGCGGUGGAAUGCGCAGAUAUCAGGAGGAACACCGAUGGCGAAGGCAGGUCUCUGGGCUGUAACUGACGCUGAGAAGCGAAAGCAUGGGGAGCGAACAGGAUUAGAUACCCUGGUAGUCCAUGCCGUAAACGUUGGGCACUAGGUGUGGGGGACAUUCCACGUUUUCCGCGCCGUAGCUAACGCAUUAAGUGCCCCGCCUGGGGAGUACGGCCGCAAGGCUAAAACUCAAAGAAAUUGACGGGGGCCCGCACAAGCGGCGGAGCAUGCGGAUUAAUUCGAUGCAACGCGAAGAACCUUACCAAGGCUUGACAUAUACUGGACCGCAUCAGAGAUGGUGUUUCCCUUCGGGGCUGGUAUACAGGUGGUGCAUGGUCGUCGUCAGCUCGUGUCGUGAGAUGUUGGGUUAAGUCCCGCAACGAGCGCAACCCUCGUUCUAUGUUGCCAGCACGUUAUGGUGGGGACUCAUAGGAGACUGCCGGGGUCAACUCGGAGGAAGGUGGGGAUGACGUCAAAUCAUCAUGCCCCUUAUGUCUUGGGCUUCACGCAUGCUACAAUGGCCGGUACAGAGGGUUGCGAUACUGUGAGGUGGAGCUAAUCCCUAAAAGCCGGUCUCAGUUCGGAUUGGGGUCUGCAACUCGACCCCAUGAAGUCGGAGUCGCUAGUAAUCGCAGAUCAGCAACGCUGCGGUGAAUACGUUCCCGGGCCU